CGGCCGCGUCGACCCAUAGUGGGUGAUAGUCCUGUACACGAAAGGGCUUAUAUGAUGAUGUCGAGUAGGGCGGGGCACGUGAAACCUUGUCUGAAUAUGGGGGGGACCAUCCUCCAAGGCUAAAUACUCCUGACUGACCGAUAGUGAACCAGUACCGUGAGGGAAAGGCGAAAAGAACCCCUGUGAGGGGAGUGAAAUAGAUCCUGAAACCGCAUGCAUACAAGCAGUGGGAGCCGACUUGUUUGGUGACUGCGUACCUUUUGUAUAAUGGGUCAGCGACUUACAUUCAGUAGCGAGGUUAACCGCAUAGGGGAGCCGUAGAGAAAUCGAGUCUUAAUAGGGCGUUUAGUUGGCUGGGUGUAGACCCGAAACCGGGUGAUCUAUCCAUGAGCAGGUUGAAGGUUGGGUAACACUAACUGGAGACCGACCCACUGUCGUUGAAAAGCCAGGGGAUGACUUGUGGAUAGGGGUNAAAGGCUAAUCAAACUCGGUGAUAGCUGGUUCUACCCGAAAGUCUAUUAGGUAGCGUCCUCGGACGAAUACCGAUUGGGGGUANAGUCGACUUUCGGG
rnacentral:rRNA from 1 species